ACUCAAAGGAAUUGACGGGGGCCCGCACAAGCGGUGGAGCAUGUUGUUUAAUACGUCAUUAACCGUAGAACCUUACCAGGGCUUGACAUCUGGCGCACCGGGGUGAAAGCCUCGUUCCGCAAGGACGCCAAGACAGGUGUUGCAUGGCUGUCGUCAGCUCGUGUCGUGAGAUGUUGGGUUAAGUCCCGCAACGAGCGCAACCCUCAUCCCAUGUUGCCAGCGGGUAAUGCCGGGAACUCUUGGGAAACUGCCGGGGUAACUCGGAGGAAGGUGAGGACGACGUCAAGUCAGCAUGGCCCUUACGCCCUGGGCUACAAACAUGCUACAAUGGACGGCAAACAAAGGGAACCGAUGGCGCGAGCCGGGGGCAAUCUCAAAAAUCCGUUCUCAGUUCGGAUCGCAGGCUGCAACUCGCCUGCGUGAAGUCGGAAUCGCUAGUAACCGCAGAUCAGCUAAGCUGCGGUGAAUACGUUCCCGGGCCUUGCACACACCGCCCGU
rnacentral:rRNA from 1 species